UUCAUUAUUGAACUAUGCAUCCACACUCCAGGGAUUGACAACACAACGACAGUGUAUGGCUGCAAUAUAUUUUACGUUAACAUCUUCCUAGCUACAUUUAUGCUACCUGCUACGCUGUCUGUGCUACGCGCUACGCUCUUAUGACAUGGAUAUAGGAAAGUUAAAAUUAUUUAAAUGUAAGUAGUUGGUAAGUUAAUGCAGCAUUGUCAUCAUCAUGUCAGCCACAAGACGUUCCCUGCUGAACAUUUACCAACUAGUUAUUCAGGUCAAGUCUCCAGUUUGAUCAGAGCGCCAAGCACGAAUAACUAUCGCAUUCGUAAUGUAAACGUAUCGAGAUGACGAUACGUCAUGAGACGUUAACGGAGUGUGGCAGCACGAAGCCUAUUCUUUCAACUAUCGAGAGCUCGCAUCAAAUUCGAUAGUGACGUCAUGCUAAUGUAAACUAGAGAAGCGGCCAAGUGAACGAUUUGAAUGACUUAUUGAGCAUAAAGAUUUCGUCUGAAAACUAAAUUAAAUUUAUAUAUAUAUAUUUCAACCUUUGUGUACACGUUUUAUGAAAUAAUAUUUAUUAAAUAAAUAUUAAUUAUGUGCAAAAAGUUCUUAAAGCGAGUUAAGAGAAAUAUAACGACAUUAUCUAUGAAAAAAAAUAAGUACUUAGUUUCAUAAAUUUAUAAUUUUUUUUAUGAUUUCCGAACGUCGUAUUUGACAUCACAUUUGUCAUGCCGGUUGUUUGUUUGUUAUUUUAUCUUAUGUAAAAUGUAAAUAAGAUAAAAUUACAAUUUUAACAUGUUACAUUUAAAAUGAGGACGAUUCAACUCCAAUAUGAGCUAAUGGUGGAAUUUAUGCAAAAAUUGGUAUAUUUGUGGGACCAGUCCAAUAUUUCUGGGAGCAGUGGGCCUACUGUAUUCCUACCACACCACUCACUGUUCCUCACGAAGCCUACCCUUCGCCAGCGCCUCCACCAACACCACCGAUCCUCCAUCCGAGGAAGAUAGCUGGAAUCCUCCACCAGUGAAAAAACCUAAAGCGAGUUUGAUUAAAAUGUGUAUAGAGAAUGACAAGAAUGCUAUGCUAAGGAGCAUGAGAAAAGUUAUUAUUUUUUAUUAGUUGAUUAUUUUUUAUAACUUACUGUUAAUUUUAUAUUUAUUUGAAUUUUUCUGUUUUUAUGUUAUUUUAAAAUAUUAUCAAAAUAUUGUUAAUGGCAUUGUAUUUAUAAUAAUUAUUCUAACUGUGUCAAUACUGUGAAUGUGGUGCAUGUCUAUAAAUUGGCAUAAGCACAUGAUCUUGUGUCUUCAUCUUGUUUUUCAUUAAUGUCUUAUAAUAAUAAAUAAAUAAAUUAUAUAUUAUUGGGAUUAAGAUUAGGAUAAAAUAGUUUUUAAGUUAGUUAAAUAAUAAUAAAUAAAAAUGUGUUUAUUGACAAAAGUUAGUACAAUAAGUUGCCGGGGCUUCCCAAAAAGUAAUCCGAAGAUACUUGUGUUGGGAUAAGCCUCGCUCUUCCUUGUUAUACAAUUGUUUCGCUAAUUAUAACUACGUUAUUAGUUAUAUAUGUAUAUACAUUUUAUUAACUAUAAAAAGAGGAUUUUGUACUAAAAAGUAAUAAAACACUUGAAAUAAC